GUUCAGCAUGGCAACUGCUGAGACUGGAAUGUCCAAAGUGCCAAGGCAAGUCACCAGGCCAUCCUGGGGUCAAGGAGAGGAGGGCAGAGUCCACCAUUGCAGUGGGACAGCACGCAUGUACAGAUGGGGAGGAACGCAUGGUGACCAUCUUCGAAGGCUCUGCACCACACAGGAGUUAGCAGGCUGCUUUAUAACUGUUUCAAAGACACAGUUCUGAGUAGUGGACUAUUCUCCAGCAAUGAAAAUGAAUGAACUACAGCUACAUGUGAGAGCAUUGAUCAAUCUUUCAAACAUCACAAUGAUUAAAAAAG
rnacentral:lncRNA from 1 species